rnacentral:rRNA from 1 species
CAGCAAUGUUCCUUCCGCAGAGUACACUUGCAGAAGCCUUAGUGGCCUGAAAGGGUUCUACCAACGACUAUAAACAAGUAGGUGGAUUAAAUGCUAGUCUCUUAUGAGGCAACACCAUCAAAUUGCGGGAAGAUCCUGUUAUGCUUGUGUCACCGCUGCUCACUGAAAAGUAGAGUAAGCACCAGGCUAAUCACCUUGGGUAUGGUCAUAGCACGCAAGUUAGGGAGGAUCCGCAGCCAAGUCCCUUCUGGGAUGCAGUUCACAGGCCAAAUGGUGGUGGGCACUCCUAGUGCUUAAGAUAUGGUCGAGUCCAUGUUGAAAAAUAUGGUACAAGUACUCUGUACAUAAGCAAUACGUUCCGUAGGUGAACCUGCGGAAGGAUCAUUAGUGAAAACACAAGUCGGUUGUUUGUGCUGGUGGAAACACAUGUGCAUGACGGCCGCAAAUCCACACACCUGUGCACCUUUGACUGUGGGAUUCGCUUGUUGGUUUGUUCCAACUUGCAGCUGGUUGACAUUGCGCCGACUGGAGUCUCAUGGUAUUUUUUACACACGCUAAAGUAAUGGAAUGUCUUUGCAUAAUGCAUAUGAAAACAACUUUCAACAACGGAUCUCUUGGCUCUCGCACCGAUGAAGAACGCAGCGAAAUGCGAUAAGUAAUGUGAAUUGCAGAAUUCAGUGAAUCAUCAAAUCUUUGAACGCACCUUGCACUCUUUGGUAUUCCAAAGAGUACGCCCGUUUGAGUGUCAUUGUAAUCUCACCUCUACAACUUUGUUGAUGUGGAAAGUGGAUGUGGGCCUCGUUGUGUAAUAACAACUGGCCUGAAAUGGAUGAGUGUACCCUGCUGCUGCUGCGUUUCAGUGUGAUAAGUAUCUUCACUGAUAAAAGUUCCUUUGGGACACGAUUGCAAAGUGGGCUCUGCGCUUCCAACUGUCUGUUAAUGGACAAUACUUGACAAUUUGGCCUCAAAUCGGGUGGGACUACCCGCUGAACUUAAGCAUAUCAAUAAGCGGAGGAAAAGAAACUAACAAGGAUUCCCCUAGUAACGGCGAGUGAAGAGGGAAAAGCUCAAAUUUUGAAUCUGUCGUCUUUGGCGAUCGAGUUGUAAUCUAGAGAAGUGUUUUCUGCCUUGGACCACACAUAAAUUCCCUGGAAUGGGGUGUCAAAGAGGGUGAGAAUCCCGUUUGUGGUGUGGACUCCCUUGGCUCUGUGAUACACUCUCGACGAGUCGAGUUGUUUGGGAUUGCAGCUCAAAAUGGGUGGUAAAUUCCAUCUAAAGCUAAAUACUGGCGAGAGACCGAUAGCGAACAAGUACCGUGAGGGAAAGAUGAAAAGCACUUUGGAAAGAGAGUGAAACAGUACGUGAAAUUGUUGAAAGGGAAGCGUUUGAAGUCAGUCACAUUGUCUGGGACUCAGCCUUGCUUCUGCUUGGUGUACUUCCCAGUCAAUGGGUCAGCAUCAGUUUUGACCGUGGGAGAAAGACUUGAGGAAUGUGGCUCUUCAGAGUGUUAUAGCCUCUUGUUGUAUGUCUCGGUUGGGACUGAGGAUUGCAGCGCGCCUUAUGGCCGGGGUUCGCACCCUCGGUACGCGCUUAGGAUGCUGGCAUAAUGGCUUUAAGCGACC